GUUCGUUGCUCUUCAUGUCCCGUUCGUGUGCUCCGGUAUCCCUGAUCGAAACUGUGUGUACCGACCUUCGCCUGUUCUCCGACCAACCUUGGCACCAUAAUAUUGCGUCCAUGCUACCAGCCAAGGUGCAUUCUGAAGUGACCAUGUUUUGUGAGCUGGGGGUUCUAUGGGCAGAAAUCCAAGGGGGCAGUGAUUGCCCUCACUGGUGAGGUGUUCCAGGCUCAUGGCACCUGGAGGAGACUUGGGGACAGACUGGAGAAACUGACUCCCUGUUGCGCUGUGAUCACCUCAGGAAUCCCCCAGAAGAGCUGAACAAAGUGGCUGGGGAGAGGGAAGACCGUGUUUCCCUGCUUUAGCUGUUGCUCCCAUGACUUAACCUUGGACAGGUAGAAGUAUAUGGAUGGAUGGAUUCAGCGAUUGCAUAAUGGGUGUAAAAACUAUUAAAAAUCAAGAUUUUUAGUACAUAUAAAAAAUUAGAGGAAGCUUAGUGAAUUUCUUCUCUCUCCUCCUCUAAAAUCCCUGACAUCAUGAAACUCUUAUUAUAUGACCAAUGCUGCAUUACGUUGGGUGCCAUUUUUUAACUGGAAUUACACUACUACACAGCACUGAGAGGGUAGCACUGUAUUAAGACCAAUUGGAAGGUCCUCCAAAAACCACUGGAGGAGACAAAGAUCAAGAGUAGUCGAAUGACUGAAUUUCUUUCCUACUGCAAAUGUGUCAGAUGUUUGUGGAUUUUCAGAAUAGGAAAAUAUUGCUUCUUUUCGAAACAAGCACAUUGGUUUUCCACCCAAAAAAAAAAAAAGCCAACAGCUGACACUAACAUCACCAGACCUUACGGGUGUGUUAAUUAUGAGAUUGGUCGCAUUUCUACCUUAAUUCGAGCCAGGAAAAACCCCGAUACUCAUGGAUUCUUCUUUGGUACAUACACUCCACCAUAAAGCUUCACAGAAGUUGUUCAACACCCAAGUCCCCUGCCUCCU